rnacentral:rRNA from 1 species
AAGCCAAAAAAAGCAGGAAUAAAACCCCGUACCUCUUGCAUCACAGUCUAGCAAGAAUACACAGACAAAAAGCCUUCAAGUCUGUCAUCCCGAACGCAAGUGAGCUAUUUCCGGGCAGUAGUUGAACCAACCCAUUUCUGUAGCAAAAGAACGGGAAGACCCGGAAAUAGAGGCGAAAAACCAACCGAACCUGCUGAUAGCUGGUUGCCCGAUAAACGAAUUUAAAUUCAAACUUGAGUAACGACAUCAUAAAGUAAUGUAACCUUUACCCAAGAAUUAGUCAAUGAAGGUACAGCUCCAUUGACCUAGGAUACAGCCUCCAUCAGAGAGUAAUUUUACUAACACUAACUGUUGACCUCAAAACAGCCACCAAAAAAUAUAACGUUACAGUAACAGGAAAAAAAUUCUAAACUGACUGACCUCCUGGUUCUUUCCCGGGCCACUCUAUCCACAAAAUAGAAGAAACCAUGCUAAAACAAGUAAUAAGAAAAAUUCUCCACGGACAAAAUUCUACCAUUAUCAGACCAAAAACGGAAACAUGAAACCUGCUUAACGCACCAUAAACCACACUGUAAAACCAACCCCGGAUUGUCCACAGAGUGAUUUAAAGCCUAAAAAGGAACUCGGCAAAAAUAUUUGACCUUUCCAACUGUUUACCAAAAACAUAGCCUUUAGAUUUUAAUAAUAUUAAAGGUACUGCCUGCCCAAUGAGAGUAAAACUCUUAAAUGGCCGCGGCAUAACCGUGCAAAGGUAGCAAAAUCAUUUGUCCCCCAAAUAGGGACCAGUAUGAAUGGCCACAUGAGAAAGAAACUGUCUCUUUAGGCCCCUCAAUGAAACUGAUCUGUCUGUACAAACGCAGACAUAAAAAAGCAAGACAAAAAGACCCUGUGAAACUUUAAGAGUCAGUCAUACAAUUGACCAAGACACUUUCGGUUGGGGCAACCAAAGAGAAACAGAAACCUCUUUAACCGCCACACGGCAAACAAGCCUAACGGCAAAUCUACAGACCCAGUAUUACUGAGAAAAGAACCAAGCUACUCCAGGGAUAACAGCGCUACAUUCUUGAAGAGUCCAUAUCGACAAGAAUACCUACGACCUCGAUGUUGGAUUAGGAUAUCCGAAUGGCGCAAAAGCUAUUAAUGGUUCGUUUGUCAACGAUUAAAA